GAUGAACGCUGGCGGCGUGCCUAAUACAUGCAAGUCGAGCGAACAGACGAGGAGCUUGCUCCUCUGACGUUAGCGGCGGACGGGUGAGUAACACGUGGAUAACCUACCUAUAAGACUGGGAUAACUUCGGGAAACCGGAGCUAAUACCGGAUAAUAUAUUGAACCGCAUUGUUCAAUAGUGAAAGACGGUUUUGCUGUCACUUAUAGAUGGAUCCGCGCCGCAUUAGCUAGUUGGUAAGGUAACGGCUUACCAAGGCAACGAUGCGUAGCCGACCUGAGAGGGUGAUCGGCCACACUGGAACUGAGACACGGUCCAGACUCCUACGGGAGGCAGCAGUAGGGAAUCUGCCGCAAUGGGCGAAAGCCUGACGGAGCAACGCCGCGUGAGUGAUGAAGGUCUUCGGAUCGUAAAACUCUGUUAUUAGGGAAGAACAAAUGUGUAAGUAACUAUGCACGUCUUGACGGUACCUAAUCAGAAAGCCACGGCUAACUACGUG
rnacentral:rRNA from 1 species